UACGGAGGAUGCAAGCGUUAUCCGGAAUGAUUGGGCGUAAAGCGUCCGCAGGUGGCUGUGUAAGUCUGCUGUCAAAGAGCGAAGCUCAACUUCGUAAAGGCAGCGGAAACUACACGGCUAGAGUGCGUUCGGGGCAGAGGGAAUUCCUGGUGUAGCGGUGAAAUGCGUAGAGAUCAGGAAGAACACCGGUGGCGAAGGCGCUCUGCUAGGCCGCAACUGACACUGAGGGACGAAAGCUAGGGGAGCGAAUGGG
rnacentral:rRNA from 1 species